GAGGGUAUAGCUCAGUGGUAGAGUAUGUGUUUAGCAUGCACAAGGUCUUGGGUUCAAUCCCCAGUACUUCUG
rnacentral:tRNA from 1 species